UCUUGCCGUGGGGUUUUGGCGCCCCCAUACUCCGAUGCUUGCACCCAAAAAAUACUGGGACCUGUACGAGCGCGAAAAGCUUAAUCCGCCGUUCGAUCCGCGUCCCCCACGUGACGUGCCAGCUAUCGCACUCCACGACAAUCGUGAGAUUCGCGGGUACGAGGGUGUAGUGACCGAUGGCAAGAUAACUCAUGAGGCGACGAUGAAGAUUCGGCACGGUUAUCUAGCGAGUAUCACUUACCUUGACGCACAGAUCGGGCGAGUGCUGGACGAGUUGGAGCGGCUGAAACUGACCGAACGCACAAUCGUUGUCUUCUGGUCAGACCACGGGUUUCAUCUCGGGGAACACGGUCU
rnacentral:rRNA from 1 species